rnacentral:lncRNA from 1 species
UCGUGAUGAUCAUAUAAAGUGAUAGCUGGAGGUUUCUCUGCCCCUUUGGUUGAUGCAGAACUGAUGCGAGUAAGGUGAGGUUUGAUCAAAGGAAGUUGAUGCUUAUUAAUGAAAUCUGAAUUGAAUGUGUGUUGAUGCAAUCCUAAGUUUGCUUCUGUUUGAGUUAUGAAUGAGAGAGCUUGGUGGAAUGUUGAUGUUUGGUUUAUUGUUAUUUCGUUCAUUGUUGAUUGGUGAUUUCCUUGAGUGGCAUGAUGAGCUUGGUGAUUUCCUUGAGUGGCAUGAUGAGCUUGGUCAUUUCCUUGAGUGGCAAGUAACAUACAUAGUUGAGUAUUAUGAGGAGAAUUCUGUGUUUCAUUUGAUAGCCCCCCAAAAUUUGGGGCACAUAUGUUGAUGAGCCAUAACUUGAGUUGAAUUGUUGAGUAAUUCUUUGCUCCUAGAGGCUUUGUAAGAGCAUCAGCAAGUUGAAGGUGAGAAGGAAUAGGGAGGAGUUUGAUCUUACCUUGAGUGCAUUUUUCUCUAACAAUAUGGCAAUCAAGCUCUAUGUGCUUGGUUCUUCAUGAAAAACAGGAUUAUUGGCAAUAUAAAUGGCAGACUGAUUAUCANNNNNNNNNNNNNNNNNNNNNNNNNNNNNNNNNNNNNNNNNNNNNNNNNNNNNNNNNNNNNNNNNNNNNNNNNNNNNNNNNNNNNNNNNNNNNNNNNNNNUUAAGGCAGUGUUAUGGUGAGUGAUUGUAGGAUUGGCCAUGAAUUGUGCUAACUGUUGAACAGCAAAGCAUAAGUCAGGUCGUGUGUUUGUUAAGUAAAUGAGUCAUCCUAUCAAUCUUCUAUAAGAGGGAGUAUCAUGGAAUGGAGCACUGGAAUCUUGAAACAGAUGGGUUCCAUAUGUCAUAGGAGUGUUAGAUGGUUUGCAGCCUAGCAAACCUAUAUCAGAAAGGAUUUCAAGGGCAUAUUUCCUUUGAUUCAUAGAGAUUUUUGUUUUGUUUUGGGCAAUUUCAAAGCCUAGAAAGAAUUUCAAAGUGCCUAAGUUUUUUUCUUGAAGUUAUUGUCAAGAAGAGUUUUGAGGUUGGCAAUUUCAUGUGUGUUGUUACCAGUAAGGAUAAUAUCAUCUACAUACAUAAGGAUGACAGUGAUUUAGUUUGAGGAAGAGUAUUUGGUGAAGAGGGAGUGAUCUCAUCUAGCCUUGUUGUAAUUAUGUUUGAUGAGGAAGUGAGAUAGCUUUGCAAACCAUUGUCUGCUUGCUUGUUUUUGUCCAUAUAGGGACUUUUCAAGCUUGCAGACUUGGUUAUGUCCAGAAGAGGGUAGGCCAGGAGGAAGGGUCAUGUAAACUAUUUCGUUAAAGUCUUCAUGUAGGAAAGCAUUAUUGAUGUCAAGUUGUGCUAGAGGCCAAUUAUGGAUAGAUGCUAAAGCUAGAAGGAGCCUAACAGUGGUUAUCAUGGCAACAGGAGAAAACGUGUCAAUGUAAUCUAUGCCUUCAGUUUGGGUGUAGCCCUUGGCUACCAAUCUAGCCUUGUAUCUUUCAAUGGAUCCAUCAGCUUUGUACUUAAUCUUGAAAACUCACUUGCAACCAAUAGGGUUCUUAUCCAUGGGUAAAUCAGUGAUGAUCCAAGUAUUAUUGUUUUGCAGAGCUUGUAUUUCUCUAUGUAUGGCUUCCUGCUAAUGAGGAAUCUUAAUAGCUUGUAAGUAUGUUCUAGGUUCUGUUUCAGAAGAUAUUGAGAGGAUUCUAUACAUGUAUGGUUUGGAUAGCUUAUCAUAGGACAUGUAGGAAGAUAGAUGAUACUUAGAUGUGUAAGACAGGGUAGUGUUGUUAAGUAAGGCACAGUGGUAGUCUUCUAAGUAUGUGGGAGGUUUAAAGAGUCUGUUACUUCUUCUCAUAGGAGGUGAAGAAGUAUGAGUUGCAGGGCAUGGAGGACAUAUUGGAUCUGCAUCAGGGGGUGGCACAGCUGAUGGUAAAAUGUCUUCAUAGAAGGCAUUAGAGGUAGGCUCAGGUAGAGGGGAUUGAUUAGGGGAGGCAUUGGUGGAGUUGGUAUAGAUGACUAUGGAAAGAUUGUCUCAUAGAAGACAACAUUUCUUGUUACUUCUAAAGCUCUGGUUGAGAGGUUCAUGACUAUGUAGCCUUUGACACCUUGUUUGUAUCGAAAGAUGCAUCUAGUAGCUCUAGGAUCGAAUUUGGUUCUAGAGUGUUUAUGAGUGCUUGCAUAGCAUAAAGAACCAAAGGUUCUUAAGUGUUGUAGGUCAGGCAAUUUGUCAUAUAAGACUUCAUGAGGAGUCUGCUGUUGAAGAGUGGAAGUAGGUAAAAGAUUAAUGAGGUGAGUAGCAUGUUUAAUGGCAUAACACCAGGAAAUUUUGGGCAGGUUACUUUGGAUCAGGAUAGCCCUAGCUACAUUCAAUAAAUGUUGGUGUUUCCUCUCAACAACUCCAUUUUGUUGAGGGGUAUAUAUGUGAUGUUUGGUGAUUGAUUUCUUUUAUGGUAUAGAAGGUUUUCAUAGGGAACUCAAGACCAUUAUCACUUCUAAUGGUUUUGGUUUUGGCAGAAAAUUGGGUUUCUAUCAUGUUAAUAAAACUCUGUAAAAGGGUUUGUGUUUCUUCCUUGCUCUACAUUAGAUAGAUCCAUAUAAACCUAGAAUGAUCAUCUACUAUAGUCAGGAAGUAUUUAUGGCCAUGUACAGAUGGGGUAGAGAAAGGCCCCCAUAUAUCAAUAUGUAUCAAAUCAAAGCAGUGUAAAGAUCGACUACUACUUAUAGGGAAGGGGAGCCUUUUUUGUUUGGCCAAGUGACAUAUUUCACAAAGAUGAAUUUUAUUGGCAGUAAUAAAGGGGAAUUUAGUCUUAACAAGGUCCAUACAAUUGUGAGAAAUGUGUCCUAAUCUAAAAUGCCAUAAGCUAGAACUAGGAAAACAUGGUUGACAAGUAUUAGUAAUGUUCACAUGAUGUUGUGUAGUUGUAGAGUUAAACAUAUACAGGUCAUUUGAAGCUCUAGCUAUACCAAUCUUCUUCAAAGACUUCUUCUCCUAGAUGAGACAAUGGUUAGAAUCAAAGCAUAAAGUAUAUGGUAAAUCAGAGGUAAGUCUUGAUAUUGAUAACAUGUUAUAUGAGAAAUCAUGUAGAUAGAGGAUAUUGUAUAGAAUUAAGUUGGGAAGUAGGGAAAUAGUUCUUGAAAUUUGUGAGAUUACCUCAUUUCCAUUAGGCAGUUUUACCUUAAUUGGCCUUAUUCUAUUAUAGGUUUCAUAAUUUGACAAUUUGGAAUUGAUGUGAUCUGUUGCUCCACUAUCCAAUAUCCAAGAAGUUAUUGACUGAUCAAGAUGAGAGGUACCUGUAUUGUUUAUGUCUGGUGGCAGAUAAAAUGUUAGAGUGUUCUCCAUCAGUUCUUUGUGUGUUCUGAGUUUGCAGCAUACUCAUCAGUCAUUGGUAUUGCUCCUUAUUGAGACCAAAAACCUUUUCAUCUGUUUGGUCAGCUUCCUGCAUAUCAUGCUUCUCAAAUCCAUUUAAGGUUGAGGAUUGAGUGGAGUUUACUUGUUCUCCUCUACUGAGAGGAAAGUUGGUAGGGUAACCAUGUAGUUUAUAGCAAGUUUUUGUGGUGUGUCCAUUUUUCUUGCAAUAGGUACAAAACUUAGGGGGAGUUUGGGUUUUUGUCCAAGAUCCUCUGCCAUAUCCAGAGGGAGCCCCCCUUCCAGAGGUACUACUGAAACCUCUAUUUCCAGUGUAGGAUNUGAAUAUCCUCAUCUUCUUCCAUUGCUAGAUAUGGUCAUAGCCUUUGCAUCUGGUUCAUGUCCAUACAUCUGCAUCUCCUGUUGAACAACAAGGGAGAAUACUUUUCUCAUUGAAGGAAGGGGAUCCAUGAGCAUAAUUUGGGACUUAACCCCACUAUAUGCAUCAUUGAGCCCCUUUAGGAAUCUAAUGAUUUUGUCAUCUUCUCUAUGCUUCUUGAUGUCACGUAGAGCAUCACAAAUGCAUCUUGGUUCAGGCAUGAAAGUAUCCAACUCAUCCCACAUAAUUUUGGUUUGAGUGAAAUACUUUGAGACACUUAGAUCACCCUGCUUAAGAUUUCCUAUAGUAUCUUGCAACUCUGCUAUCUUGAAGAGAUUACCUUGGGAGAAUCUCUCAUUGAGGUCUUCCCAAACUUCAUAUGCUUUGUCUAUCCAAAGAAUGCUCUGAGCUAUGGAUGGUACAACUGAUCUAAUGAUCCAUGAAGUGACCAUGUUGUUGGCCCUUGCCCAUGCCUUAUAUGAAGAGUCUGUCUUGCUAGGCAUUCUGAUUGAUCCAUCCACGAAUUCCCAUUUUUUGCUUUGAUAUGAGACUCAUUUGCAUAGACCUUGUCCACUGGUGGUAAUUGUCACCAUUCAACAUUGGUGAUACAAGGGGAGUGGCGGGACUUUCUGAGGGAUGUAUGUAGUAUGGAUCUUGAGAGAGAUUAGAAGAAUUUUGAGCAAGGGUAGGAAGAGCAGUAGAUGAAUCCAUGAUGGACAUUUGUUGAAUGUAACAGAGCUCUUAAAAGAGCUCUGAUACCAUCAAAGAAGAAAGAAAGAAACUAUGCUUAGCAAUGGAUUAUCAAUCCAAGAACAGCAAGAAACAGAAUUUCACAAUGAAUAACCUCGAGAUCUUUUAUUGAUGAAAACCUGAUCAAAGAUCAGUUUACAAUGUUAUGAAAAGCUUAUCAGAAAAACUAUCUAAAGAGUAAUACUUAUACUUGUAAGAUUGGAGAAAAGGCUAACAAACUAACUAACAUAUUAACUAACUAACAAUUAUAACACAUGUUAAUCAUAGAAGGCUUAACUAGAAGCUUCAGCCAACUUAGCCAUCUGAUAUAAAAGCAUAGGCUAAAGCAAACAAAUACAAAACAUAUUACAAUUAUGAUUGACCAAGUGUUAAUGUCGUGAUGAUCAUAUAAAGUGAUAGCUGGAGAUUUCUCCGCCCCUUUGGUUGAUGCAGAACUGAUGCGAGUAAGGUGAGGUUUGAUCAAAGGAAGUUGAUGCUUAUUAAUGAAAUCUGAAUUGAAUGUGUGUUGAUGCAAUCCUAUGUUUGCUUCUGUUUGAGUUAUGAAUGAGAGAGCUUGGUGGAAUGUUGAUGUUUGGUUUAUUGUUAUUUGGUUCAUUGCUGAUUGGUGAUUUCCU